GGGGUUGUGGGUAAGUGGUAGAGUGCACGCUUAGCAUGUGUGAAGCCCUGGGUUCCAUCCUCAGCACCACA
rnacentral:tRNA from 1 species